AAACGACUCUCGGCAACGGAUAUCUCGGCUCUCGCAUCGAUGAAGAACGUAGCGAAAUGCGAUACUUGGUGUGAAUUGCAGAAUCCCGUGAAUCAUCGAGUCUUUGAACGCAAGUUGCGCCCGAAGCCAUCAGGCCGAGGGCACGCCUGCCUGGGUGUCACGCA
rnacentral:rRNA from 1 species